GAUUGAACGCUGGCGGUAUGCUUAACACAUGCAAGUCGAACGGAAACGAUACUAGCUUGCUAGUAGGCGUCGAGUGGCGGACGGGUGAGUAACGCGUAGGAAUCUACCUGAUAGUGGGGGAUAGCCCGAAGAAAUUCGGAUUAAUACCGCAUAAUCUAUUCGUAGUAAAGUGGGGGACUUUCGAGCCUCACGCUAUCAGAUGAGCCUGCGUAAGAUUAGCUAGUUGGUAGGGUAAAAGCCUACCAAGGCAACGAUCUUUAGCUGGUCUGAGAGGAUGAUCAGCCACAUCGGGACUGAGACACGGCCCGAACUCCUACGGGAGGCAGCAGUGGGGAAUAUUGGACAAUGGGGGCAACCCUGAUCCAGCAAUACCGCGUGUGUGAAGAAGGCCUGAGGGUUGUAAAGCACUUUCAAUUGUGAAGAAAAGCUAGUGGUUAAUAGCCAUUAGCCUUGACGUUAACUUUAGAAGAAGCACCGGCUAACUCCGUGCCAGCAGCCGCGGUAAUACGGAGGGUGCAAGCGUUAAUCGGAAUUACUGGGCGUAAAGCGUGCGUAGGCGGUUUAUUAAGUCAGAUGUGAAAGCCCCGGGCUUAACCUGGGAACUGCAUUUGAAACUGGUCAACUAGAGUAUGGUAGAGGAAAGUGGAAUUUCUGGUGUAGCGGUGAAAUGCGUAGAUAUCAGAAAGGAACAUCAAUGGCGAAGGCAACUUUCUGGACCAAUACUGACGCUGAGGUACGAAAGCGUGGGUAGCAAACAGGAUUAGAUACCCUGGUAGUCCACGCCGUAAACGAUGAUAACUAGCCGUUGGGGGGAUUUACCCCUUAGUGGCGAAGCUAACGCGUUAAGUUAUCCGCCUGGGGAGUACGGCCGCAAGGUUAAAACUCAAAGGAAUUGACGGGGACCCGCACAAGCGGUGGAGCAUGUGGUUUAAUUCGAUGCAACGCGAAGAACCUUACCUGGUCUUGACAUCCUGAGAACUUUCUAGAAAUAGAUUGGUGCCUUCGGGAACUCAGUGACAGGUGCUGCAUGGCUGUCGUCAGCUCGUGUCGUGAGGUGUUGGGUUAAGUCCCGUAACGAGCGCAACCCCUAUCCUUAUUUGCCAGCACAUCAUGGUGGGAACUAUAAGGAGACUGCCGGUGAUAAACCGGAGGAAGGCGGGGACGACGUCAAGUCAUCAUGGCCCUUACGACCAGGGCUACACACGUGCUACAAUGGGAAGGACAAAGAGCCGCGAAGCCGCAAGGUGUAGCUAAUCUCAGAAACCUUUUCGUAGUCCGGAUUGGAGUCUGCAACUCGACUCCAUGAAGUCGGAAUCGCUAGUAAUCGUAGAUCAGAAUGCUACGGUGAAUACGUUCCCGGGUCUUGUACACACC
rnacentral:rRNA from 1 species